rnacentral:rRNA from 1 species
UACAGAGGGUGCAAGCGUUGUUCGGAAUCAUUGGGCGUAAAGCGCACGUAGGCGGCUUUGCAAGUCGGGUGUGAAAGCCUGGGGCUCAACCCCAGAAGUGCAUUCGAAACUGCAGAGCUUGAGUCUUGGAGAGGGCAGUGGAAUUCCGAGUGUAGAGGUGAAAUUCGUAGAUAUUCGGAGGAACACCAGUGGCGAAGGCGACUGCCUGGACAAAGACUGACGCUGAGGUGCGAAAGCGUGGCGAGCAAACAGG